GGGACCUUCUGGCCUUGCGCUAUCAGAUGAUCCUAGGUCGGAUUAACUAGUUGGUGGGGUAAUGGCUCACCAAGGCUACAAUCCGUAACUGGUCUGAGAGGAUGAUCAGUCACACUGCAACUGAGACACGGUCCAGACUCCUACCGGAGGCGGCAGUGGGGAAUAUUGGACAAUGGGCGAAAGCCUGAUCCAGCCAUGCCGCGUGUGUGAAGAAGGUCUUCGGAUUGUAUAGCACUUUAAGUUGGGAGGAAGGGUUGUAGAAUAAUACUCUGCCAUUUUGACGUUUCCGACAGAAUAAGCACCGGCUAUCUCUGUGCCUGCACCGUGGUAAUAUGAAGGUGCAAGCGUUAAUCGGUAUUACU
rnacentral:rRNA from 1 species